rnacentral:rRNA from 1 species
CCCUUAGAUGUUCUGGGCCGCACGCGCGCUACACUGACUACUUCAACGAGUUGUUUCCUUGAUCGAAAGGUCUGGGUAAUCUUUGAAAGGUAGUCGUGAUGGGGAUAGAUCCUUGCAAUUUUUGAUCUUCAACGAGGAAUUCCUAGUAAACGCAAGUCAUCAGCUUGCAUUGAUUACGUCCCUGCCCUUUGUACACACCGCCCGUCGCACCUACCGAUUGAAUGGUCCGGUGAAUCUUUAGGACUGUGGCUGAGGUCUUGCCUUGUGCGGGUCUGGCCGUGGGAAUUUAGUUAAACCUUACCAUUUAGAGGAAGGUGAAGUCGUAACA